UCAAGAGGUGCUGUGGAGGGAAGCAGGAAGUGCAGUCUUCUGAGCUGUUAUGGCCGUCAAGUGGAUUGGUGGACAUUCUUCUCCUAUUCUCUGCCUGAAUGCAAGUUCAGAAGGGCUAGUGGCUUCUGGAGCAGAGGAUGGAGAUCUCAUGGCUUGGGGUGAAGAUGGGACUCCAUUGGGACACAUAAGCUUUGAAGGGGCCAACGACAUUACAUGUGUCUUAUUCUCUCCCUCCUGCCCCACCAAGCUCUAUACCUCGCAUGGAGAAACUAUUAGCAUACUGGAUGUCAGCUCCCUCAAAGGUUCCCUGGACAAUUUUCAUGUGAAUGAAGAAGAAAUCAAUUGCCUUUCAUUGAAUGAAACUGAAAAUCUGCUGGCUUCUGCUGAUGACUCCGAGGCAAUCAAAAUCCUAGACUUGGAAAAUAAGAAAGUUAGCAGAUCACUGAAGAGACAUUCCAACAUCUGUUCUUCUGUGGCUUUUCGGCCUCAAAGGCCUCAGAGCCUGGUGUCAUGUGGACUGGAUAUGCAGGUGAUGCUUUCCAAAGAAUACUUGGGUAAUUUCUAAAUGGGAUUUGUUAGCAGAAUCAAAUUGAUCAGACUAAAUAUAUCUUUGAUUUUUUUAUUUUCUACUAACAUGAGCCAUAAGCUUUACUUCUAAUGCAUUUUUAUGCUAACCUGACAA